UACGGGGGGGGCAAGCGUUGUUCGGAAUUACUGGGCGUAAAGGGCUCGUAGGCGGCCAACUAAGUCGGAUGUGAAAUCCCCAGGCUUAACCUGGGAACUGCAUCCGAUACUGGAUGGCUUGAAUCCGGGAGAGGGAUGCAGAAUUCCAGGUGUAGCGGUGAAAUGCGUAGAUAUCUGGAGGAAUACCGGUGGCGAAGGCGGCAUCCUGGACCGAGAUUGACACUGAGGAGCGAAAGCCAGGGGAGCAAACGGG
rnacentral:rRNA from 1 species